ensembl:lncRNA
UCUGUUUUGUAAUGCCUUGCAAGGAAAUCUUUGUCGGCAUCACCCCCUAAUGUCCCAGACACACCAAAUAUCCCAUUCCCUUUCAGGUACUUUUGAAAGUAAUGGAAGUUUGAAAGGUAAUUAGUCACAUUGGACAAAGGAGUGGUUGCCAGCUGGUGUUUCAUCUCCAGAAACUGCUGCAGGCCGUCCCCCCAGCGUUUGUUCUUCUCCAACACUCCACUGGCCUGGAAGUCCACUGGGAUGAUAGCAUGGUAGAGAUGCUUGUCUCCGACAGCUUCCAACGUAUGAUCAAUCAUGUACUCUCUGCCUUGUGUCAUCAUGAUGGCUUUCAGGGCAUUUUCCACAAAGACUGGUAACUGAUUCUCAAGGUACUUCUCAAGGAAAGAGGGGAUCACAAGAAACUCUGAGUUUGACUGAGAGCUGCCAGAAUAUUUGAUUUUAGAAUUCAGCUCAGAGACUGUUGCCUUAAUGAGUUUGUCUUCAGGUAUGAUCUCGCUGGCUCGUCCAUUCUCGAGGAGAAGCAUUUUGAUUUCCAGGAUAUCAGGGUUGUUGUGCAACUUUUUCUCCUCAACCAGCACGGCUUUAUUGUUUGUCACAGAGUAACAGUCAAUGGCCACAUCAUUCUCCAGUGCUUUCUCCAUUAUGGUGAGCAGAUCACACUGUUGAGUAAUUCCAACUUUGGCCAAGAAUGUGUCAACAGUUAUCCUGUUCUCUGUUGUAUCGUCAUUCUCUGUGUUCUCUAGAGCAUGCAUGAACAUAUCAAAAUCUUCAUCUGAAUAGAUACCCAACUCCACUCCGGCUUCCAAAAUGUGAAAUUCAGAGAAUUCUUUAGAUGUCGCUGGACCGAUAACAGCUAACUUUGCAGCCUUGUGAAAAUGCUGGAUUCCAGUUGCCCACUCAAUCUCUCCAGUAUCUUCCAUCUCAAUUGGCUGACACAUAGAUACCAUGGCCCAUAUGCUUGCAAGGACUUGUCCGAGGUGCCUCAGGCCACUUGCCUCGUGGGAUAGAAACGUCACCUGAACUCCAUUGUCCAAGGUCAUGUAGUCCACUUCAUCCACAAUCACCAUGUCGAACCUCCUCUCCCCACGUGUGGUGUCCUUCUCGAAUUCCUGCCUCAAUGCGUCUGCUGCAAAGCUGCCAACGGUUCCGUUAACAAAUCGUUUCCUGUAAGCCUCCUGUAGCAUACUAUCCCUGCUUUCAGGGGAGCUUCCCUGUAUCUGUGGUGGUGGCACAACAGAGGAUGUGACACCAAACAUGUCAUACAGUUUCUUCCACUCCUCUUGGUCUCGC